CAGGUGUGAAACUGGUCACCUUUCAAAGCUAACGAGAAGUAAACAAGGAUGGAAAGAUAACUGAGCUCAAACCCAACAGCAACCGCAGGUUAAACAGAGUGCGAACAGACUGAGAAGCUCCUGGGAAAUCAGAGAUGCCAACUGUUGUAGGUGAGGAUUCAGCUCCAACUUAAACCCAAAGGCUCCAAUUCAAUUCAGUGUUAGGUAAGUAUUUUAAAGGAUUAAACAUCUCAUAUUAUCAGUCUUACAUGUAUAUUAUAACUAAACACAUAAUGCUGCAUGUAGACAGACAUUUAAAAUACUUAAAAGACCUAAUCCUCCUUUGAUCAUACAGAUUUGAGAUUAUUUUACAGACAUUUAUCGAAUGAUUAAAAUUUAACAUCUGCUGAUCAAAACAGAUAAAAUAUGCAUGUUAAUGUGAUGUCUGCCAUGUGAAAUUACUUCUCUGCUACGAACCUAU